rnacentral:rRNA from 1 species
UACGGAGGGUGCAAGCGUUAAUCGGAAUUACUGGGCGUAAAGCGCGCGUAGGCGGUUUGUUAAGUCAGAUGUGAAAGCCCAGGGCUCAACCUUGGAACUGCAUCUGAUACUGGCAGGCUAGAGUACAGGAGAGGGAAGUGGAAUUUCAGGUGUAGCGGUGAAAUGCGUAGAGAUCUGAAGGAACACCAGUGGCGAAGGCGACUUCCUGGACUGAUACUGACGCUGAGGUGCGAAAGCGUGGGGAGCAAACAGGAUUAGAUACCCCGGUAGUCC